AGGACGAACGCUGGCGGCGUGCUUAACACAUGCAAGUCGAGCGGAAAGGCCCUUCGGGUACUCGAGCGGCGAACGGGUGAGUAACACGUGAGCAAUCUGCCCUUAGCUCCGGGAUAGCUCCGGGAAACCGGAAUUAAUACCGGAUACGACCACAGCCGACAUCUGCUGUGGUGGAAAGGAUUCCGGCUAAGGAUGGGCUCGCGGCCUAUCAGCUAGUUGGUGGAGUAACGGCCCACCAAGGCGACGACGGGUA
rnacentral:rRNA from 1 species